rnacentral:rRNA from 1 species
AGUGAACGCUGGCGGUAGGCCUAACACAUGCAAGUCGAACGGCAGCACAGUAAGAGCUUGCUCUUACGGGUGGCGAGUGGCGGACGGGUGAGGAAUACAUCGGACUCUACUUUUUCGUGGGGGAUAACGUAGGGAAACUUACGCUAAUACCGCAUACGACCUACGGGUGAAAGCAGGGGAUCUUCGGACCUUGCGCGAUUGAAUGAGCCGAUGUCGGAUUAGCUAGUUGGCGGGGUAAAGGCCCACCAAGGCGACGAUCCGUAGCUGGUCUGAGAGGAUGAUCAGCCACACUGGAACUGAGACACGGUCCAGACUCCUACGGGAGGCAGCAGUGGGGAAUAUUGGACAAUGGGCGCAAGCCUGAUCCAGCCAUACCGCGUGGGUGAAGAAGGCCUUCGGGUUGUAAAGCCCUUUUGUUGGGAAAGAAAAGCAGCAGGUUAAUACCCCGCUGUUCUGACGGUACCCAACGAAUAAGCACCGGCUAACUUCGUG